UAAAACGUCACAGCAAUCUUUGUUUUCUUCAUCUCAGUCGUCGUCUUCGCCCCUCUGAAGAAACCCUAAUCCCCCCUCCCCAGAAUCAUCUUCUAACUUCUGUCAUUUAAUUUCCUCUUUCUCCAAUCUCGAUUUAAAUUUCUGCAAAUUUUUCUGUUAAACCAAUUGUCUUUUAUAAUUCUUGCUUUCGGAGGCGUUGCGUUAAUCGGCUAAAUCUCAAUUCCGAUGAACGUGUCAAGGGGAGCAUACAACAAUAUUUCUGCAAUUAUAACUUCAAUCUGAUUUUCUCAAUCUUUUUUUGCAACUGCGAUCCCAAUUAGUCAAUUCGUAGUUCGCAUAUGAAGUUCCUAAUUGUAACAUCUGAAAAUCCCUUAAUUUCUGUGAUUUCAAUUUUGAUUUGAUUUGUUUGUUGCUUCAUAUGGUGAACUCUCUCUUGGUAAAUGAGAAGUGUUCUAGUUUCCGAAGCAUAAAUUAAAAACAAAAUGCCAGUUUUAAACAGCACGAUGAAUGGAUUAAUCAAUUAGUCUCCUUUACUUUCAUCGCGUUACCUGUCAGCUGGAUGAGUUGAAUACGAGAGCGAAUUCAUUCAGAUUUUCCUGAUUUGACGAAAAUCUGAACCAUGGAAGAGGGACAGCUGAUCGUCUUCAGAAUGAAUCAAAAGCCUUAGAAUUUUCAUGUUGUCAAGGUGGGGUGUCUCAAAUGCGCGAACAAGCAACUGGGGUUUUGGGCAUUUUGGCUUACCAAUGUGUUGGUAACAGAGAUCUAGCUGCUUUCUUAGAUGUUCAUAUAUGCUGCUGAUCUUAUGAGCCAAGCUCGAGAGCUCCCAAGCCUCUGUUGUUGACGAUAUAUACCUGAUCGCACCCCAAGCAUCAUUUAACCAUAUUUACUGCUUGUGAAAUUUCAAGGCCAAUAUACUCCGGAUGAUCCAAUAAGCAGCUGUUGGGAUCAAAGCAUCAGCGGUGUCAUACACUGCUGUAUGUGCAGCUAUGUACUGAGGGUUGAGGGAUUCUGAGUGUUCCAUUAUCUCGGGAAGUUGUUUAAGGAUCGCAACAGACUUUGCCAAUGGGUUUACUGUGUAGAGUUGCGCAACCAACCAGAAUUCACCGUAAUACACCGCAAAGGCUGCAAGAGCGAGGGCAACUUUUGCAUCCCAAGAGUAGUUUGAGACUGUGUUGAAAAUUGAUAGAGUUGUUGCAUGUGCAUCUCCACUUACAGAACACUUGCAAGUUAUCUACAAUAAAAAUUACUAUCAGCUCUAUCAUCUCUCCAUAUCCAGCCUGAAACGCCUUGUCAUCGAAAGCAUCCAGGGGAUUCUGUACCUGAGUAGAGCCAGGAAUGGUGGGUGCAGCACGGUAAAAGAUGUCCUCAAUGAUGUGAAAUAGAGGUUUGACAUCAAUGUCACGGCCAUCAGGGGCAUGUGUGGCUCGAAGUUGGUUUAACACUGUCGUAUCAUCAGAAGCUGAGAACAAAUGAUGAUCUCCCCUGAAUCGUUGUUUCCUGCCAGAUAUUGGAAUAAAGGUCGAAUGAACCUACUACCUUGCUUGUACUAGGGUCAAAACUUUUGAUCAUCUAACAAGGUUAGAAGAACUGAAGAGAGGCAGAUGAAGCCUGAAAGCCUCAGCUCAGUUUCUGAGUAGGAAUACCUUGCCUGUGCUGUCUACAACAUCCAGAAAAUCACCAGCUGUUAAAAAUACUGGUGGUCAAAGUAAACUGGGGCAAAUAAUUUGGGACAGAGGGAGCAGAACAAAGAUCAUACCGACAUGGGGAACGAGGGGUCGAUAGUGUCAAGGUCCAAUACAACCAUACUGGGAUUUUCAUCGAAUUCCCACUCCUUUUUUGCAUAGUUAAUCGUUGUUGAGCUGAGUGACCAUGGUUGUCGAAUUGAGUACCACGGCAAGGAGUUUGAUAAAAGAUUGAAGAUUGUUACUUCAUUGUUGCUCCAUUUUCCGGAAGUUGAGAUGGGGAUCCACAAGAUAUCAUAGCUUCUAUCUACCUUACCGUGAAGAGGGUGAUCGUAUGUCUGGUGAACCAGUGAAAACAAUUCAUCUACAGGAAGCAGUUCUGGUUUUGAAAUCAACAGGACAACCACCUUGUUCUUCAGUGAGGAGAUUCCAACCUGUCACAAGGAAAACUCCUGUUAAAAUCAUUGCAGAGAGAAACUCUGAUGUCUCAUAAACUGCUGAAUACCAGGUUUGACAACUAAGGCUCUAUUCUGUUCACCUUAUUUCCACUUAUUUCAGCAAAAAUAAGUUCAGAUAAGAUAAGUUCGGGAAAAAUAAGGAUUGACCAAGUACAAGUUAUAACUAAAAUAAGUUCAGAUUAGACAUUUUCAGAAAAAAUAAGUGAAAUUAGGUGAAUAGAACGCACCCUAACUAGUUAACUACAAUUGUAUUGUAUAGGAAGACCAUGAAUCCCAAUUCCCAACCUUAUCAUGAAAAGUUUGAACUAUUUCUUAAUUUCUUUUCUUAAGAAACUAAUAUGGUGUUUUUGAACCGCAUUUCGUGGAAUUUACUCUUGAUGCUAAUUUGGAUGAGUGAUGUUAUAAAAUCAGAUUGAUGGAUCCAGUUCAGAAGUUCACGCGUACAGCGUACUUAGUCCUGUCAGUACUGGAGCAGGCUGGUGUGUCUGCAUGCAUGGUUAUUCGUAUAGGACAUGCAUCUAAUAUGUUAAAUCUUAUUUGGUCAAAUAUUCCUGAUGAAUUGGCCUAAGAUAGCAUAGAAUAUAGUUCAUUAACAAAUUGAAGUGAAAAAAAGGUAUCCAUCUUUUCUGAAUUUAGAUGAAUUAGAGUCAGGAAACCUUUGCUUGCUUGGAUGAUUGCUUUAAUGGGAAGUCAUUCCUCAGACCAAACAACAUCCUAAGAAUUCCUUGGUUGUCAAUCUGUGGCUCCUUGAAUAGAUUCACAAGCUUCUUCUGCAUCUUCUGCUCUGCAUUUUGAGCCAGGCUUCUACCUGUGUUCUAAGUUGAGUGCCGAUACCAUUAAUCUUGCUUCUUAAACUGACAAUCUCCCAUACAGCACUUGAUAUUGAAUAUGGAUCCCUAGAGUCCAAAAUCAGGUUUGACAGUCAGUUUUCUUUCUUAAAGGUAACAUGGCAUGGAAAUUUUAUUUUGCAUACUGCAUAGGAUGAAUUGUUUGUUACCACCUUAAAAAUUAAAACUUGUAUUUUACCAUCUAGAAAAAAAUGUUAAAACUUGUUUUUUACCACCUGAAAACAAAAAAACGGAUGAAACUGUUAUGUGGGGCUCACUAAUUCAAUUUCCCUCCAUUUUUUUACACUCCAUCUGCAGUCUGCACUUUUGUUUAACCCCUUCACCCUCCUCUCUUUACUGCCAUUGAAUUUUGUCAAUUUUGUGAAUUAAUAGGAGAAAAAAUUAUGUGAAUUCAUGGAAGAGAAUGAAGUAGGGUAAGAAAAAGGAGUUAAAUACAAGUUUUAGUUUUUUAGGUGGUAAAAAACCAUUUUUUGAUUGUUUAGGUGGUAAAAACAAUUUUUCCUAUUGCAUAUUAUUGUUGUAAAACUUAAAAACUGUUGAAGCAGUGGUAGAAAUGAAUACGAACUGCAUAACUGAAAGGAAAGAGGGUGCACUUGCUCAUCUUCAAUGGCUCUCAAAUUUGUAACGAGAGUAAUGCUAACCAAAAUACUCCUGAUUAUCCAAUAAGCAGCAACAUAUAUUAACGAUUUUGUAGCUGUGACAGUCCCAUCCUGCAACUCUACAUGGGUUAUUGGUAAAUCUUCAAAUUGUGAAACAAUCCUAAUGAUUUCUACCAUAGUUUUAACUAAUGUGGUUAGUGCUACAAAGAUAGUCUCAAAUAUGUUUCUGUCUGGAAUUUUUUUGAGUAAUGCAAUCGAUGCAGCUAACGAGUUCUGGCUCUGUGAUUGCAGUAUGACCCAGUGUUCGCCAAAGACUGUCGCAAAAGCUGAAAGAGCUAGAAGCAGUUUAUCAUCCCAUCUAUAGCUCCCAAGUGUAGUUCAUGUAAUCACAUAAUUAAGGAAAGAGCUUCAAAGAAAAAGAGUAAUGCAGUAUACCUGUGAUGCAGUAGUCUGGUGCAUGAUAGUUUCAAUAACUCGAAGCAACAUCUCAGAAUCAAGUUCGCGUCCAUCUGGAUCAUGCGUAAUCAGGAUGUUCUUGAUGAGGAUGUCUGUUUCUGAAGAAUCUACGUUGCCUGGGCGGAAGCUUUCACCGUACAGGUAGUUCAAGGCCAUUGGCCGAGUAUGCGCCGAGUACUGCAAAUCACAUAUAGGGUGAUCUCUGCUUGUUCUAACUGAGUUGGGUUGCUGUUUUGGAGGGCAAUGUGAAAGAUCAAAUAAGAUAAUUGGGGCUUUUAAUGUACCAUUUCAUCCCACAAAGGGUAAGGUAUAUAUGUACUCCAUUAAAAAACUCAGUAGCAGUACUGUAGUUAGAACCUUUUGCUUUAGAUUAUUUGCUCGUUACUUAUUUAAACUUAUUUUUGUUGAAAAACACUUAUUUGUGUAUACAAAUUGUUUGAAAACUUUAUUUUUGA